UACGUAGGGGGCAAGCGUUGUCCGGAAUCAUUGGGCGUAAAGCGCGUGUAGGCGGCCCGAUAAGUCCGCUGUGAAAGCCCAGGGCUCAACCCUGGGAUGCCGGUGGAUACUGUCGGGCUCGAGUCCGGAAGAGGCGAGUGGAAUUCCUGGUGUAGCGGUGAAAUGCGCAGAUAUCAGGAGGAACACCAAUGGCGAAGGCAGCUCGCUGGGACGUGACUGACGCUGAGACGCGAAAGCGUGGGGAGCAAACAGG
rnacentral:rRNA from 1 species